rnacentral:rRNA from 1 species
UACGUAGGGUCCGAGCGUUGUCCGGAAUUACUGGGCGUAAAGAGCUCGUAGGUGGUUUGUCGCGUUGUCCGUGAAAACUCACAGCUCAACUGUGGGCGUGCGGGCGAUACGGGCAGACUGGAGUACUGCAGGGGAGACUGGAAUUCCUGGUGUAGCGGUGAAAUGCGCAGAUAUCAGGAGGAACACCGGUGGCGAAGGCGGGUCUCUGGGCCGUAACUGACGCU